UCCAGGAGUGUCUCCUGUUGUGUCUUACUGCUGUCUUUGUGAGUCGGAACCUGGCCUAAGUCUGGCUGCCCUGUGCUCCAGGUGGGCAGAGGCAGGAAGACACCAUGUUGGACGCGCAGCCUAUUCAGGAGAGGAUCUCCAUGUCCUUAGUGGCGGAAAGCUACCAUUUUAGCUGCUUUUGUUUAUGACUGGAAAACACUGGACACUGCUUCGGGAAGAAUAUACCUCAGUCGUUAAUGGCAUCGGAUGUGGAGUCAGGCAUGUAUUUGAAGGUUGACUUCACCAUUGGUGCUGCAUGAGAACGGAAAGGCUCAAUUCCAAAAAGACACUUUGGUGCUAGGAACCAUUGUUGCUAUGUUUCCUGAUAAUAAGAACAAGAAGCUCUACAAAACAG